rnacentral:rRNA from 1 species
GUCCACGCCCUAAACGAUGUCGACUAGUCGUUCGGAGCAGCAAUGCACUGAGUGACGCAGCUAACGCGUGAAGUCGACCGCCUGGGGAGUACGGCCGCAAGGUUAAAACUCAAAGGAAUUGACGGGGACCCGCACAAGCGGUGGAUGAUGUGGAUUAAUUCGAUGCAACGCGAAAAACCUUACCUACCCUUGACAUGUCUGGAACCUUGCUGAGAGGCGAGGGUGCCUUCGGGAGCCAGAACACAGGUGCUGCAUGGCUGUCGU